AUGAAGAUAUUCGUUGCUAGGGAAGCCGCGUCUCCAGUUGUUAAGAUGGCGAGGCCGAGGGUUGUCCCGGAGAACACCGCGGAUUCUAAUGCAUUUCCUGCAGAGUUUUACCACUGAUGGCCUGCGAGGAAGUUGAUCUGCGAGUGCAAGUUACUGCGGCAUCCAACUUUAAUGGAGCGUUGUCAAAAAUGGUGUUAAUCCCGCCGCCGAGUCCCGAGAAGUGCCGGGUCCGGACGGAGGGCACAACCCGGCCGGGGACUGAUUGAGGCGGAGAAAAACCUUCGACAAGCCUGAAGCCAGCCUCAGGAUGCAAAUGCAACGAACCGAGUCCUACUCAAAUAUAAAAACUCAGUUGGAGCCAGAAUGGAAUGAAGAACAGCAAAGAUUACUGGAAGCACAAAAAACAAAUAGGACUAAAGCUCGUAAAUUUACAUUGCAGACAAUCCGCAGGCAGAAAAUUUUGUAUUCCUUACAGAGCCCUCGAGGAGAAGCGCAGAGAAGAUGAGGAAAAAGAACAAAGAUUUAGGGAGGAGGUACUUCAAGAGCGAAAACUGAAGCAACAAGAUGCAACUGAGAGAUUUCAAAGAUCCCAUCUCCUCUCAUCACAACGCAGGCAAUAUAUAAUUGGCCAUAGAAACCAAUCCAUUCAAUUAGAUGCAGCUCUUGAACAGAUUCAUGGUUCAUUUUAUAUGUCAACUUCUCCAUCAUCUGCUGUUGCAGAGCCCACAGUCUUCACAGGGACCACUUGUUUAUCUCCAAAUCCACCAGCUUACAGGCCAGCUACAAAUGUUUACCAUCACAAGAGUCAACUUUCAGCAGCUAAGGCUUAUGCCAAGCUUAUGCAAGAGAAAAGUGGUGUAAAUUUGAAAAACAGUCGGUUACGCUUUCAGCAGGAGCUGCAGGAGACACAGCGUCUCCUGGGAGAGCAACAACUGAAUAGUUUACAGGAAUUCCAAAAAGAAAUCAAUCAACUUAAUCAGACUCAAAGCUUAUCAAGCCUUGACAGCCUAGAAAUUGAAGAACAAAAUGCCGUACACACAUCAUCUUUGAAACAUUUUAUUGCCUCUGGUAAGAAAGAGUUUCAUCCUCUAAAAGCAGCACAUAUAAGUGCCUGGAUUAAUAACCUGGAUAAUAGCAGAACUCCUAUUUCGUCUCCUGAGAAUGCAAUAACAAAUGGAACUGAAGUUUCAACUAUAGAAGAAUAUUUGACUGAUAAGCAACACACAUUUGCUUCCAAAAGUACUGAAUCUAAAUGUCCUGACUUAACCUCUGUUUCUUCUACUGAAAUACAUCAAAAUGUAUAUUCAACCAAAUGUUAUAACAGCAAUCAACAUAAAGAAUCAGACAGUAAUUUCCACUCAGUACAAAGACAUCCAACAUACAUGGACCCUUCUGAAAGUCCAAAGGGCCAGUCUGCUCAUUCUGCAAUAACUCCUUGCAUUGCCUGGUCCACACCAGAUCCAACACCCAGAGAAACAACACAAUCUUCAGGAGUGAACGGCGGAUUCGAUUUUGUGCACCACAGAGAGUCUGCAUCAAUUCAUCCAUCAAAACUGCCUUCAGCAACCCCUAUCUUUUUAGCCUUAAGUCAGGUGUCACAAAUGAAUCGUGGCAGAGGAAAAACUGACAGCGCAAAAGAUAGUCAAAAAAUCCAAGAAGCACACUUAAUGCCAUGUGUUGGUACAACUAGUAAAUCUCCUAAUUCUCUUCUCACUUUGAACCAAAAUACUGAUACUUACAGUGAAACUGAAGAAAACCAAACUUCACUCAACAAAUAUAAUUUUAAAGUCAAAAUCAGCCAUGAUUCUGUAGCAGCCAGUCAGAAUGCUGUUUCGUCUCAAGCAAAGUUUCAUUCGUCAGAAUCUGAUUCUGGAAUUAAUAUCACAGAAGGAAAAGAAAAUGAGCCAGUAACAUAUUCAUCAAUGUUCAGCAGCAAAUUAAAAGACAACAAGAACUCUAUCCAUGAAAAAAAAAUCAAUUCUUUGAAGGGGAUACUUAAGAAAGUAUCAAAGUAUGGAAAUGGUAAAAACAAAUCUCCAUUGUCUGCCAGUAAUGUGCUCGGUAUUCACAUUGCAUCCUCUAUCAGAGAUAGCGUGGAGCUUAAAAAAAUGAAACAAGUGGAAACUGAUAAAAAACCAACAAAGAAAACGCUGAGAUGGCUGGAUGAGAUUGACCUAAUCAACCAGUUUAAGAAGGGGGAAGAUGAAUCUAUUGGAGAAGAAGCGGGAAGUACAGCAGACAUUAAAUAUUCAGGAUUAACAAAUCCGACUCAAUUACAAUCAUCCUAUUUUCCAAAUAAUGGUCAUAUUGUUAAUGUUCAGUCAAAUGUGAACAAUAACAAAGAAUCAAAAUGGAACACAGAUCAAAAGAUUGCUGCAAAUUAUGACCUAUCUGGCCUUCAGUUGAAUGAAACCCAGGGAAACAUAACAAUCGGAGCGCCUGUAAUUUCAGAAACGGUUUCUGCGACCAAUGGAAUAGUUUCAGAUGUGUCAUCCGAUGACCAUUUUACUAAACAGUCUUGGACAGUGCCAGGAACUAGAAACAGAGAUCACAAAAUGAAUGCAAGAAAUAAUAUUACUGAACCUGAAAAAUCUUUCGGAGGAAAAGGACAAACCAAAAUGGUUAAAAGACCUCAUUCAGCUAAAGUUUUUUCUGGUACGGGAAGCAACUGCAGGAAAGGCACCAUAAUCAAACCAAUAUCCGGCAGUGAAAUAAUUAUAUCUCAGGGUAAAAUCAUGGUGCCCCACCCACCACCCAAACCACCAAAUGACAGCAAGCAGAUUCAAAGGAUAUCUAUCAAUUAUAAUAGCAAUUGCCAAUCACAGAUGCAUCCUGCGCAUGUUGUUGACAUAUGUUCCAACACACCGAUGAAAAGCAAGCCGUUAGAUAAAGACACCAUUGAAAAUGCAAUCAUCUCAGGCCUUCAGCCUCAGGUACAUUCUUCAAGAAAUAGGUAUUUUAAUAUCACAGCAUUUCCUUCCUCCUAUUCAGUCCGCUCAUAUGAAACUGCUAAUAAAGAAACCUAUUCAGUCAAUGCUACACAAGAUGAAAAUGUAACCAAUGGCACCAAACAAGACACGGGUUAUGGAGAGAACACUAUACAUUUGGAAUCCACACCAACGCAUGAACAAAUUGCACUGCUUUGGCACGGUGUGCGUGAUGCCUUGGUACAAAGGGAUAUCACAUCUGGUAACUCUCAAAACAGCUUAUUAUCUUGGAAUAAAGACCAUCAAACAAAUCUGCAAUCUCACCGACCUAAUGUCCCUCAUUUGACCAUUGAUGGAGGCAGCUUGUUGAAUGGCACACAAUCAGAUUCCAGAGGAGGACAAUUAUUUUCUGCUCCUUCUGGAGCUAGAAGAAAGAACCCCGUGCCUGCAUACAGUAAUGGAGCGAAAUACAGAGCUCUUCUUCAGCAAAGAAGAAUAAUUAGCAGUCCAUUUGCAAAUAAAUCUGAUCAAAUGGGACAGAAAAUUCAGAUUCAACCAAUUCAAAGUGUCUUUAAUCCUGUAAAUGCCUCUCAGAACACCAAAGAAGAAGUUUCAGAAAGCACCGAACAGUUUAUGCUAGCAGAAAACCUCGUAGAAACAUCUGCUAUGGAUACUGACAUAUUAGCUGCUAUGGACGCAGUAAAAACACAACAACAUGUCUUUCUUCAAAACAAAGUAAAACGAUUAGGCCUCAGUGCAUUGUCCUUUGAAGAACAGAAACUCCUUCAGUCAUUAGAUCGUCUCAAUCAAAGGUUGAAGAAUAUCCAAGAAACGAUUGAAGCAAGCCCACGUAAUGAUCUUCUGCAGUUUCCAUCUCCUGUUAUCACACCUUUUGGUGUCAUUGGCUCAGGGUCUAGGCCCGUGCGAGUCAUUUCUGGAACCCCAAAACAUCACAAUGUUACUGCUUAUAACCAUGCGCACAUUGAAAGCCAAUACUCAAGAAACAAGACAAGCUGACCAUUAUGAAUAGCUACAUAUGAGUUACUACACAUAUCCACUUUAUUCUGAGCUUCUUCCUACUGACAAUGGCUCACUGUUCCCCUGUAUCCUCCUCUUCUCAUCUACCCAUGCUUCAAGUGGGGGAACCAUCACUUUCUAUAAUGCUAUUUGGAUCUGUGGAAUGAAUUUCAUCUCAACUUGCAACUAUGAAGUUCUUUCUCUUUAGGAGAUACUGGACUGGGUUCAACUAUCACUCUUCAGAUCGAACCGACGUUAACCAAAAUCAAAACAUACUAAUUCAAUGCCAUAAUGGUAGCAAAAGGAAGGUGAAAAAUUGGAUGAGAUCAAAAAGAGAAAGGAAAAAUGACUAAAAGGGAUUAAGACAUUUAAGUUAAAUUUGAGUCUAGAAAUCCAAUUUGCACAAAACAAUUUAUUUUCUGGUGUUAUGGAGUGAAAGUAAGAUUCUAUAAAGGAUGAGUAAUGUUUUUGACUCUAUUUUAAUAUAAAUCGUUCUUUCUCUGUUUUGUCUCUCAAUCUUUCUCUUGUAUCCAUUCCUUGUCUCUCCCUUUGUGUCUGAUGCAGUAUAUGCAUUAUAUUUCUGUUAAUAUAAAACUAUUAAGAACCACUUUUGUCUUUUGCUCAAUGACUAUACUCAAUAGCGAAGCUGAGCUGGAAUCACAUAACUGGUUUCCCCCCAUGAACAGAAACAUCAGGUGUUCUAAGUCUUUGCACCUUUAAACAUAAUUAAAUGAAUUUGACUCUCUACCAAAACACUCAACAGAUUUUAGCCAAUAGAAAUAAUUUAUGUAACACACUAUGAAAUACUUAUUAAGCUUGUGCAUCUAUGUGAAUAUGUGAAUUUUGUUUGAUUUUCAUUAUGAUGUUCUAAAUUUAAAUAUAUUCAUUAAUAAAUAUUGAACAAGGAUGAUUUGUAUUUUAUUAAUCAUGUGAACAUUGUAAUUGUAACAUUGUAAUGUACAUUUUUGAAAUCACUAAAAUGUA